ensembl:lncRNA
CUUCAACGCACAGUUGCCAAAUCACAGACAAUACGGAAUUGUGUGUGUUGUGUUUGGAAAACACCUCUCAUUCUUUCAAAGCGCUUAGAAUUGAGCUCAGCUGCCAGCGAAUGGACAAUAUUGCUUUUGUCUCUUCCCUCUGCUCAGAUCUAGAGUCUGAUAACAGAUGAGAAGAUAGAGCACUGCAUCGUUUGGACUGAGACUCGAUCCUGCUUCUAUCAGUCCAGGACUGAACACUGAAGACCAAAGACCCUGGAGAACAGACGAGAAAGAGAAGAGUGGAAAGAGAAAUAGAGAAAGAUGUGCUUCUGUAUCAAGAGAAUAGGAAUUUUCCCUUUAGUCUGCUGUGGCUGUCCAGAGCCAGGCACUAUUAUGAGCACCUCCACGAAGGAUGUGAGCAGGGAGGGCUGCGGAUGCACUUCACAUUGUUUCUCCUCCUGGGGAAGAUCAUGCUUUUCAUCUGUUUGACAGCAGGCUUGACCUCAUUUUCAGGUCAGCGUAGAAAGGAGAGAAUGAGUGUUUGGAGGUCUCCGGGAGGCCCAGGAGAGUUUUGUCCCCAACUGCUUACUGGACUAAAAGGAAAGGACUUAAAACGACUCAUCUCUGUCAGCUCAUCAGCAUUUGACAGAUCAGCAAGACUUCCGCAGGCCAGAUUUGACACCAAACAAGUUUUCUUGGAUGGACCUCUCAUUAUAAUGCAUGUAUACCUGCUAAUUGGAGGUUCUGGUGAAUUGAGAUCAACCUAAGAAACAGAAGACGUGAAACUUUUAGUUUGUGCUCAAACUAUUUUUUUAUCAAAUAUAUGCAGCCUUGAUGAGCAUAAGUGUCUUCUUCCAGAAACAAACUUUACCACUCCAAAACUUUAAAACAGUUGGCUACAUAGCAAUAUACUGAGGACAAAAGAAAAAUGGAAGGAUAGGUGGAUGAAUGGAUAAAAAUCAAUCAAUGGCAGUCAUGGCAGACCAUAAAACUGAUACCAGAAAUAAUUACAUAACGCUAUGAUAUAUUUAGUGAUGGGUACUCAACUCCCAGUCAAUUUAUUUUGGAAAUCUUCCAUGCUGUGCUGUGAUUCCCUGUUAAAUGCAUUGACAGGCAGGUAUGGGGUAGUCGGAAAAGAUACUGUUUACACAGUCCCUAAGGAAAGGAAUCAUGCUCUUCCUCUUUCAAAGCUCAGAAAUGCUUCAUUAAUGCUGUCAAUGGUGUGGGCUACAGCAGAGAAAUCAGACACAAUACUUUCAUUCCCUUAUUCCUGGCACCAACCAACCUAUGGCCACAGUCCCACAUAUACCUUAUAGAGCAGUACUUAAUGUAGCAGAAAAGAGAAAGAGAAAAAGAGGAGCGAGGAAAUACAUCAGAGAUUAAUGAGAGCAAAAACGUUGCAGGGAUGGGCUCUGAAUGGAUGCAGUCAUAGGUCAGAGUCUUCAGUAAUAAGACACUUACAUCCUCCCGUCAGCAUGAACCAGAGCCAAGAUACAGCAGGAGGGAAGAGGAUGCAUGAGCUUCUGUUUAGAUGAUAGUUUCCAAGGAGACAACAUUAAAAAUGAUAGGGGAGGAUGAUGGUCGGACUAAGAGAAAUGACACCCAGGCAGGAAGUCAGAAUGAGAAGUUUCAUUAAAAGUGCAUUUGUUUAAUUCCAUUAGGAUUAGCGAGCUUCUCAGAGACACUAAUAAAUGACAGGCAGAGUCUGUGAAUCGCCCUGCAGUUGAAUAGGAAGACUGCUGUUAUCUGGGAUCUGUCGAGGUGUUUGGAGUAUGAAUGAGGUUGAAGAUUUAAUGUGGCUAAUGAGGCAUUGAAAAUGCUCUUUUUUCCAGAUCCAGUUGAGUAAAUUCAUUACUUAUUAUAAUUUUUUUUUCCAGUGAGCUUUACUUUUAAAUGCUAUACAUACCAUGCAAUGAAAAAAGUGUCAACAAUUGAAGGUUCUAUUCUAUUAUUUAUUCUAUAUCCACGACAAAAGUUAAAAAAUU